GAUGAACGCUGGCGGCGUGCCUAAUACAUGCAAGUCGAGCGAAUGGAUUAAGAGCUUGCUCUUAUGAAGUUAGCGGCGGACGGGUGAGUAACACGUGGGUAACCUGCCCAUAAGACUGGGAUAACUCCGGGAAACCGGGGCUAAUACCGGAUAACAUUUUGAACCGCAUGGUUCGAAAUUGAAAGGCGGCUUCGGCUGUCACUUAUGGAUGGACCCGCGUCGCAUUAGCUAGUUGGUGAGGUAACGGCUCACCAAGGCAACGAUGCGUAGCCGACCUGGGAGGGUGAUCGGCCACACUGGGGCUGAGACACGGCCCAGACUCCUACGGGAGGCAGCAGUAGGGAAUCUUCAGCAAUGGACGAAAGUCUGACGGAGCAACGCCGCGUGAGUGAUGAAGGCUUUCGGGUCGUAAAACUCUGUUGUUAGGGAAGAACAAGUGCUAGUUGAAUAAGCUGGCACCUUGACGGUACCUAACCAGAAAGCCACGGCUAACUACGUGCCAGCCGCCGCGGUAA
rnacentral:rRNA from 1 species